CAACAUUUCAAGCGCAACUGUGUACAUCAAAGAGCCAAUACAAGAUGGCUGCCUUUAAAAAUUUCCUCCAACUGGAUUUUCAAAAUGACAUUCAACAAUUGCAUUCAGCUAAACUCAACUGUACAGUGUAUGGUAAUAUUUAUACAGGUUUUGAGUUUAUUCGCUUUCACCCUCUUUGUUUGACGAUGUUACUGUGUGCGGUGAUAAAGUUGUUACGAUNAGAAGUUGAACUGCAGCAAUGGCAGGAAUCUUCUCUCGUAGUUUUUGUGUGACAGCUACUCGAACAGUCAUGACGCCAGCUGCUGGACCUGUGAUUCGGAUUUUCACUAUUGGCUCUUCGAUUGCCACUAGCUCAAGAGAUCCUCCAGCCGCCCCAACAAGGUAUGGCCUAAUUUCCUCAAGCACCUUCUCUAUAUUUUCUUCAUU
rnacentral:misc_RNA from 1 species